rnacentral:rRNA from 1 species
GCCUGCCCGGUGCUGGAAGAUUAAAUGAUGGGGUGCAAGCUCUUGAUUGAAGUCCCAGUAAACGGCGGCCGUAACUAUAACGGUCCUAAGGUAGCGAAAUUCCUUGUCGGGUAAGUUCCGACCUGCACGAAUGGCGUAACGAUGGCCACACUGUCUCCUCCUGAGACUCAGCGAAGUUGAAAUGUUUGUGAUGAUGCAAUCUCCCCGCGGAAAGACGGAAAGACCCCAUGAACCUUUACUGUAGCUUUGUAUUGGACUUUGAACGGAUCUGUGUAGGAUAGGUGGGAGGCUUUGAAGUGAGGACGCUAGUUCUCAUGGAGCCAACGUUGAAAUACCACCCUGGUGCGUUUGAGGUUCUAACCUAGGUCCCUUAUCGGGAUCGGGGACAGUGCAUGGUAGGCAGUUUGACUGGGGCGGUCUCCUCCCAAAGCGUAACGGAGGAGUUCGAAGGUACGCUAGGUACGGUCGGACAUCGUGCUAAUAGUGCAAUGGCAUAAGCGUGCUUAACUGCGAGACUGACAAGUCGAGCAGAUGCGAAAGCAGGACAUAGUGAUCCGGUGGUUCUGUAUGGAAGGGCCAUCGCUCAACGGAUAAAAGGUACUCUGGGGAUAACAGGCUGAUACCGCCCAAGAGUUCAUAUCGACGGCGGUGUUUGGCACCUCGAUGUCGGCUCAUCUCAUCCUGGGGCUGUAGCCGGUCCCAAGGGUAUGGCUGUUCGCCAUUUAAAGAGGUACGUGAGCUGGGUUUAAAACGUCGUGAGACAGUUUGGUCCCUAUCUUCCGUGGGCGCUGCAGAUUUGAGGAAGCCUGCUCCUAGUACGAGAGGACCGGAGUGGACACACCUCUGGUGUAUCGGUUGUCACGCCAGUGGCAUUGCCGAGUAGCUAAGUGUGGAAGAGAUAACCGCUGAAAGCAUCUAAGCGGGAAACUCGUUUCAAGAUGAGAUCUGCCGGGGCCUCGAGCCCCCUGAAGAGUCGUUCAAGACCAGGACGUUGAUAGGCUGGGUGUGGAAGGCGUGCAAGCGCUUAAGCUAACCAGUACUAAUUGCUCGUGCGGCUUGACCCUA